rnacentral:rRNA from 1 species
GACGAACGCUGGCGGCGUGCUUAACACAUGCAAGUCGAACGGAAAGGCCUGCUUUCCCUUGUGGAUUGCGGGUACUCGAGUGGCGAACGGGUGAGUAACACGUGAGUGAUCUGCCCCCAACUUGGGUAUAAGCCUGGGAAAUUGGGUCUAAUUCCCGAUAGGACUGCAGGGUGGUGCCUGUGGUGGAAAACGAUUUUCUAGUGGUUGGGGAUGAGCUCGCGGCCUAUCAGCUUGUUGGUGGGGUAAUGGCCUACCAAGGCGGCGACGGGUAGCCGGCCUGGGAGGGUGGACGGCCACAUUGGGACUGAGAUACGGCCCAGACUCCUACGGGAGGCAGCAGUGGGGAAUAUUGCACAAUGGGCGGAAGCCUGAUGCAGCGACGCCGCGUGGGGGAUGACGGCCUUCGGGUUGUAAACUCCUUUCGACCGCGAGGAAGCCACCUGGUUGGAAGGGUGGUGACGGUAGUGGUAGAAGAAGCACCGGCUAACUACGUG